rnacentral:rRNA from 1 species
GACGAACCACACAAACGUUAUUCGGAAUCACUGGGCUUAAAGGGUGCGUAGGCUGCGCAGAAAGUUGGGUGUGAAAUCCCUUGGCUUAACCAAGGAACUGCGCCCAAAACUACUGUGCUCGAGGGAGAUAGAGGUGAGCGGAACUUAGGGUGGAGCGGUGAAAUGCGUUGAUAUCCUAAGGAACACCCGUGGCGAAAGCGGCUCACUGGAUCUCUUCUGACGCUGAGGCACGAAAGCUAGGGUAGCGAACGGG